rnacentral:rRNA from 1 species
UACGUAGGUCCCGAGCGUUGUCCGGAUUUAUUGGGCGUAAAGCGAGCGCAGGUGGUUUAUUAAGUCUGGUGUAAAAGGCAGUGGCUCAACCAUUGUAUGCAUUGGAAACUGGUAGACUUGAGUGCAGGAGAGGAGAGUGGAAUUCCACGUGUAGCGGUGAAAUGCGUAGAUAUAUGGAGGAACACCAGUGGCGAAAGCGGCUCUCUGGCCUGUAACUGACACUGAGGCUCGAAAGCGUGGGGAGCAAACAGG